CCUACGGGCGGGCAGCAGUGAGGAAGAUUGGGCAAUGGGAUUACGCCUGAACCAGCCAAGGCGCGUGAGGGAAGAAUGCCCGAUGGGUUGGAAACCUCUUUUGGCAGGGAGCAACGCCGGCUACGUGGAGCCGGACUGAGAGUACCGGAAGAAAAAGCAGCGGCUAACGCCGUGCCAGCAGCCGCGGUAAUACGGAGGAUGCGAGCGUUAUCCGGAUUUAUUGGGUUGAAAGGGUGCGUAGGCGGAAGGCCAAGUCAGCGGGAAAAUCGCGGGGCGCAACCUCGCGCCGCCGUUGAAACUGGCGUUCUUGAGUGGGCGAGAAGUAUGCGGAAUGCGUGGUGUAGCGG
rnacentral:rRNA from 1 species